CAGCAGCCGCGGUAAUACAGAGGGUGCGAGCGUUAAUCGGAUUUACUGGGCGUAAAGCGUGCGUAGGCGGCUUCUUAAGUCGGAUGUGAAAUCCCUGAGCUUAACUUAGGAAUUGCAUUCGAUACUGGGAAGCUAGAGUAUGGGAGAGGAUGGUAGAAUUCCAGGUGUAGCGGUGAAAUGCGUAGAGAUCUGGAGGAAUACCGAUGGCGAAGGCAGCCAUCUGGCCUAAUACUGACGCUGAGGUACGAAAGCAUGGGGAGCAAACAGGAUUAGACCCGUGUAGUCCCUGUCUCUUAUACAC
rnacentral:rRNA from 1 species